ACUACCAGCGACAUUCCCCUUGACCUUAGGUUUAGAAGCAGAAGAUUCUGUGGAAACUCCAAGAUGAGCUUCCUGGUCCUGCUUCUCUGCAUCCUGGUACUGGGCUUUCAGGGCUGCAGGGGGCAGAUUGUCCUGACUCAGUCUCCAGAGACCCUGACAGCAUCUCCAGGUGACUUUGUCUCCAUCACCUGUAGAAGCAACAUGGAGGUAGGUACCUCCAUGGCCUGGUACCAGCAGAGACCCCAGGAAGCCCCAAGGCUGCUCUUCUUUGGGGCUUCUUCCAGGGCUGCUGGAACCCCUUCCAGGUUCAGGGGAAGUGGUUCUGCCACUGACUUCUCCCUCGCCAUCCAUGGGAUGAAAGCUGAGGACGUCGGUGUGUUUUACUGCCAGCAGCACUUCAGCCGGCCUCUCACAAUGACAGGUCCCCAAACAAAUAUCCUCUUUACGGGCCAAAGACCUUGCCUUGUUGCAAAGGCACCUGCUUCCUGCUGA